rnacentral:lncRNA from 1 species
GUUUGAGACCCAUUAGCUAAAGUAACGUUGGGAAGAAACUGUGAAUACGUAAUAUCUGACAAAAGGGAUUUAUUACCAGAGAUAUGAUCUGAAGCAGAUGAGUCCACCACCCAUUGUUCAAGAGGACUAGACUGGGAAACACAAGCAAAUUAAUUACCAGCAACAGAAGAAUCAGGCUGAGCAACAGUGGCUACUUGUGGAGACGUCUGCUUAC